rnacentral:lncRNA from 1 species
UAUUAAGGUGGUAUGGGAGUCUAAAAUAAAAAUGAUAGAAUUUGUUCAUACUUUGCCAAAAUGUAGUAUCUAUUGAUACAUGUUAAAAAAUAUUAUAAAAAUGAUAGGUCACCGUGCAUUUUUUCAAGCUACGGGUCGUGACAAAAUGACACAUUUUGUAUGGAUUAUACAGGAAAAAACACCAUUUUGUGAAUAGAAACUAAACGAAAUGAUAGAAUUGUAAAAUAAAUUAGGUAAAUAUAGCUUUCAAACAAUGCUUUGAUAAUAUCAAAAGAAAAGAUAGGGUCACCGUACGUUUUUUCCGGCUAAAAUACAAAGAAGGAAAAUUCCAUGAACAAUCCAACAGAAAAUGCACUGUUUUAGAGUUACCUCCCCUUAAAAUGACAAUUUCAAAAUAUUUAAAAACAACCAAAAAUAAUCUACACUUGUACAUAUAUUUAUAUUUAUAAGUUAAAUUCUUAUAAAUUGGAUCUUUUAAAUGUAAAAACACAUGAAAUAUUUGCAUUCUUGCAUCAAAUUUUGCUAAUUUGAUAGAAAAUAUGGACCUUAGAUUCUCUGUUUUUUACAAUCCAAGAUGGCGAAAGACACCCAUACCAC